rnacentral:rRNA from 1 species
GUCGAGAAUUUUUCACAAUGGGGGAAACCCUGAUGGAGCGACGCCGCGUGGGGGAUGAAUGGCUUCGGCCCGUAAACCCCUGUCAUUUGCGAUCAAACCUUGCGACCUAACACGUCGCAAGUUGAUAGUAGCGGAAGAGGAAGGGACGGCUAACUCUGUGCCAGCAGCCGCGGUAAUACAGAGGUCCCAAGCGUUGUUCGGAUUCACUGGGCGUAAAGGGUGCGUAGGCGGUCGGGUAAGUCUGACGUGAAAUCUUCAAGCUCAACUUGGAAACUGCGUCGGAUACUAUUCGGCUCGAGGAAUGGAGGGGAGACUGGAAUUCUCGGUGUAGCAGUGAAAUGCGUAGAUAUCGAGAGGAACACCAGUGGCGAAGGCGAGUCUCUGGACAUUUCCUGACGCUGAGGCACGAAAGCCAGGGGAGCAAACGGGAUUAGAUACCCUAGUAGUCC